rnacentral:lncRNA from 10 species
CUCGCACCCGGAACAACAAAGCAAGGAAGACGGAGUCCGAGCCUCGGGGGCUCCUAGCAACGGGCCGGGGCGGGAGUUCCAUGGAGACUGGGGAGCGCGCCCGUCUCAUCCUCAUCCUUGUCCUCCAGCUUCUCCUUCGCAUCCGACGCAACCGGCAGCAGCGCUGCCGCCGCGUCCUCAGCCACCGCUCCCUCUUCCCACGGAGCGAGGUUUCACCAGGCUGGUCUCCAACUCCUGACCUCAAAUGAUCCACCCAUCUUGGCCUCCCAGAGUGCUGAGAUUACAGGCGUGAGGCACCACUCCUGGAUGUGAUCUUCGUGGUGGAAAGCUAAAUUUUAAAACCACCCCAAUGGAUGCAGACAGUGAUGUUGCAUUGGACAUUCUAAUUACAAAUGUAGUCUGUGUUUUUAGAACAAGAUGUCAUUUAAACUUAAGGAAGAUUGCUUUGGAAGGAGCAAAUGUAAUUUAUAAACGUGAUGUUGGAAAAGUAUUAAUGAAGCUUAGAAAACCUAGAAUUACAGCUACAAUUUGGUCCUCAGGAAAAAUUAUUUGCACUGGAGCAACAAGUGAAGAAGAAGCUAAAUUUGGUGCCAGACGCUUAGCCCGUAGUCUGCAGAAACUAG